AUUGACUAGCUUGAGUCCGACCGGAGAGCAUCAAGGCCCGCAGAGCCCGCGCUAAGUCUCGGCGGCGGCGCCCAGGGCUGAGCCGUGGUAGCCCUGGUGUUUAGAGGGUGUCUUCCUCUAGAAAGAGAAAAGUUUGGCAGUGAUUUGAUUUCAACUGGGGAUAGGAUGUAAAGCCAGGCGUGGGGAAUCACCGUAUACUUUGCAGAGAGAGGCAGCUGCGGUCUUCCUGGUGCCUUCUAGUCCACACACCAACCCACGUCGUCAGCUUACACACAGACACACACAGACACACACACACACACACACACACACACAAACACUGGGCCAAGGGAGUUGCGGAUUUUCUGACUCCUUGUGCACUCAUCUGGAGGUGCGGAGUGGGUGCGUGCGCGCGCAUGCGUGCGCGCGCCCGAGAGAGAGCGAGAGAGAGAGAGAGAGAGAGAGAGAGAGAGAGAGAGAGAGAGAGAGAGAGAGAGAGCGUGUGUGUGUGUGUGUGUGUGUGUGUGUGUGUGGUGUAUGUACGCGUUUUCUCACGGUGGGAUGUUUAUUUCGGUGAACGCCAGGAAAGUGCAGUGUUAGAGAUCUGUCUGUGCUAGCUAGCUCGGGAGCAAACACGCCGCAAGCAACUGUAAUCAAUAUGUAACUUUCUUCAUCCUCAGAGAAAUCCCCGCUGUCCCCAGGCACCCAUGCAAGGAAAGUCACUUGAUUAUGAAAGUGUUUCAGAAGAAAAGCAGACGCCGGUGGAGAGAGAGGCAGUGUCUCGAAGGAGGGAACAAGCCUCUCUUAAGACAUGUUUUGCAGCUCCAUGAAACUGAAAUCUGGUUGAACAGUGUUUAGACUUCUACCUUUUAACCAUCUCCUAUCACAGCCCACAUUCAAGCUUUAGAAUCUCAAAGCUUGCUUUUGUCUGAACUGCUUUCACAAACAUCCACAAGUUACGAUCAGUUUUGGUUCUGAUCUAGCAGUUCUGGAGCAGAGUUAAGAGGGACAAAGGAAAACAAUCCGUUGAAAUAGAGAAGUGUGGAAAUAUAUGGCCCUUGUUGGAACUCCAUAUAUAGACCAGAUUGCUCUUGAACACAGAAAUAUCUGCCUGAUUUUUAUUCCUGAAAGCUGAGAUUAAAGUGACAGGCAGUGAAAGAUACUUCUUAGAAAAUGUUGACUCCUCUGGAAUAAAGCACUGCUAUGAGGCACUGGUUGGGAAAUUCAUGAGAAAGGAAACUGACUCUUAGAAAACAUGCCAGGUUAAAGGGUUCUGACAUUGACAACAGAAGAAAAAAGGUGAGCUGAAGAAGGACAGCAGCAAUAGACAUGCAAAUGCAGAUGGAGGAAAGCCAAGGCUGGCUAAGGACAACAAAAGAAUGUGAGAGGAGAUGAAAUAAUCUUUCACAAGGAAGAGCUCACAAAUUGAUUAUCCAAUACUAACUUGUCAGUCUUUAAAACACAUACAUAGAAAUAACAUCAUACAGACUGUGCACGUUGUGCUAAGCAUUGAAUAAUGUAUGUAUAUGUGUGCAUGCACAUGUGUGUGUGUGUGUGUGUGUGUGUGUGUAGCAAUAUUUAGUGAAAAAAGAAGUCUUGAAUUUGAGAGGAGAACACCAGGAAGAAAGAAAAGAAGUAAAAAUAAUGUUAAUUAAAAUGUGAAAAAUCAAAGAAAGAAAAACAUGUCAGUUAAUAGAAUGAAAUAUGGAGGCAGGAGGGUCACAAACUUAUGAACAUUUUAGAUUGUAUAACAUGACUGCCUAAAAAUCCUAAACCAUAGAAAUCAGCAAUAAAAACUUAAAAAACAAUCAGAUUUUUAGAGAAAAGAGACAAAGAACUUUUAUGACUCUACUACGUCAGCCAUUUGCAACAAAUUCUUCUUUGUGUCCUUUGUCUGGAUUUCUGCCUAAUAUCACUUUUAGCUUUCAGUUUAUGUAUUCUUGUUAUCUCAGUAAUACUCUGUGCAUUUCUUUGUUUCUCCAUAAACUUUCUCAAGCUUCAAAGACUUGUUGUAAUUGACAUUAUUUUCACUCAUGGUUUUAAAAAAUAUUGUUACCUAUUCAACUCUGCAAAGUUCCUUUAGUUGAAAACAUUCUUCCAUGACAAUAAAUCAAUUGGUCAUAUGCUUUUGCUCGCGUUGGGGACCUUGACCUGCUCCUGGGUUGCUUCCUCCGCCCUUAAUAUGAAAGAAGGUGACUAGUCUUACUUCAACUUGAUAUGCCGUGUUUAGUUGAUAGUCCUGGGAGGUUUAGCCUUUUUGGAAGGAAAACAGUGAAGAAUAGAUAGGAAGGGAAGAGGAGGUGGGGUAGGAGUGGGAAGUGGGAGACUGGAUCAACAAGAGGGACGGGAACCUAUAUUUAGGAUUCAAUUAUAUGAGGAUAAAUUAAUAGACAAAACCAAAACAAUCCUCCCAAAAAUCAACAAAAAUUUGACUGGUCAUAAAUGGGUGUGAAAGAUAAUCCUUCUGAUUACCUCAUUGAAAUCAACUCUGACGAAGGCUGUUCCAUAGGGUACAGAUUGUAUAUUUUUAUUAUUUUAGUUUUGGACAUUUAUUCCCAACCUUUUUAAUAUAUGGUCAUUAUUUUCAGUGGAUGUAAGUGCUUCAAUAAAGCAAGAGAUGUUUAACAUA
rnacentral:lncRNA from 1 species